CGCUGGCGGCGUGCCUAAUACAUGCAAGUCGAGCGGACAGAUGGGAGCUUGCUCCCUGUUAGCGGCGGACGGGUGAGUAACACGUGGGUAACCUGCCUGUAAGACUGGGAUAACUCCGGGAAACCGGUAAUACCGGAUGGUUGUUUGAACCGCAUUCAAACAUAAAAGGUGGCUUCGGCUACCACUUACAGAUGGACCCGCGGCGCAUUAGCUAGUUGGUGAGGUAACGGCUCACCAAGGCAACGAUGCGUAGCCGACCUGAGGGUGAUCGGCCACACUGGGACUGAGACACGGCCCAGACUCCUACGGGACAGUAGGGAAUCUUCCGCAAUGGACGAAAGUCUGACGGAGCAACGCCGCGUGAGUGAUGAAGGUUUUCGGAUCGUAAAGCUCUGUUGUUAGGGAAGAACAAGUAAGGGCGGUACCUUGACGGUACCUAACCAGAAAGCCACGGCUAACUACGUGCCAGCAGCCGCGGUAAUACGUAGGUGGCAAGCGUUGUCCGGAAUUAUUGGGCGUAAAGGGCUCGCAGGCGGUUUCUUAAGUCUGAUGUGAAAGCCCCCGGCUCAACCGGGGAGGGUCAUUGGAAACUGGGGAACUUGAGAGAAGAGGAGAGUGGAAUUCCACGUGUAGCGGUGAAAUGCGUAGAGAUGUGGAGGAACACCAGUGGCGAAGGCGACUCUCUGGUCUGUAACCUGAGGAGCGAAAGCGUGGGGAGCGAACAGGAUUAGAUACCCUGGUAGUCCCCGUAAACGAUGAGUGCUAAGUGUUAGGGGGUUUCCGCCCCUUAGUGCUGCAGCUAACGCAUUAAGCACUCCGCCUGGGGAGUACGGUCGCAAGACUGAAACUCAAAGGAAUUGACGGGGGCCCGCACAAGCGGUGGAGCAUGUGGUUUAAUUCGAAGCAACGCGAAGAACCUUACCAGGUCUUGACAUCCUCUGACAAUCCUAGAGAUAGGACGUCCCCUUCGGGGGCAGAGUGACAGGUGGUGCAUGGUUGUCGUCAGCUCGUGUCGUGAGAUGUUGGGUUCCCGCAACGAGCGCAACCCUUGAUCUUAGUUGCCAGCAUUCAGUUGGGCACUCUAAGGUGACUGCCGGUGACAAACCGGAGGAAGGUGGGGAUGACGUCAAAUCAUCAUGCCCCUUAUGUGGGCUACACACGUGCUACAAUGGACAGAACAAAGGGCAGCGAAACCGCGAGGUUAAGCCAAUCCCACAAAUCUGUGUUCGGAUCGCAGUCUGCAACUCGACUGCGUGAAGCUGGAAUCGCUAGUAAUCGCGGAUCAGCAUGCCGGUGAAUACGUUCCCGGGCCUUGUACACACCGCCCGUCACACCACGAGAGUUUGUAACCCGAAGUCGGUGAGGUAACCUUUGAGCCAGCCGCCGAAGGUGGGAGAUGAUUGGGAGUCGUAACAAGGUAGCCGUAUCGGAAGC
rnacentral:rRNA from 1 species